UAAAAUAUGCGUUACAAUUUA
rnacentral:piRNA from 1 species